UUCUACCAAAUAUCAUGUUCUAAGUUGGUAUCAGGAGGGUUCGAUCCCUCGCUCUUCCGCUGUGUUAACAAAUAUAGGUGUUUGUUUUCACCCAUAUCUCCAGUUCCAUCACCUACUUUACUCACAUCAUCCAUCCAUUUUACCUACAACACAAAUUUCUAUCACCAGAUCAUAACUAUUCACCACCACCAUUAACAUCAUUUGCUGCUAAGAAAGCUUGUUUGAAUGUCUCUGCUAGUAGCAAGGCAACUGGACAGAGUCUUUUGUUUGAUGUAUCAACACUUUAGAUCUGGUACUAAAAACAUUCUUAAGAACCAGUUCUAAACAAAUUUCAAUAUCUUUCAACUUCCAGUUCUAAACAAAACAUUACUAUUACCAAUUAUAUCUGUUAACCAACACAGAUCAAUACUACCAAUUGAAGAGGUAUUUCGACUAUCUCACACUACCAUUUGAAGAGUUUGCAGAACCAACUCCAAGGGGUCUUUGCAGUGAACAAUUCUUAUAAAUAAAUGUUUCCUUCAGAUGAACCAAGGGGUCUUUGCAGCGACUGAACAAUUCAUAUAAACAAGUGUUUCAUUCAGAUUCUUGGUGUUCCUACUAUAGUGUUAGGCUACAUAUGGGAUGACUGCUCUCUUUGUCACACACACCAGCCUCAUUUUAAAACACCUAUCUACUUUUUCGGAUCCAACAACAACAUUUAAGGCAGUCUGAUUUUCACUGAAUUGCAACCAGGCACGGUUCUAUCACACUAGAAGUCAUGAUGCACGAUAGAAAUUAAGAAUUCUCAACUAAGAUUACAACUCAAUGACAUGUAACCCUAUAUGCAGUUAACAAUUAACCUAUGUGUACCAGUUACAGGUACAUGUUUCUUAAUGGGUGUCUAUCAUGUUACGGAAAAAAAACCAACUCAAAAUACAAUAAAGAAUAUGUCAUGUGUAUGCUUCAUCGCUAUGCUACUGCAAGACAAAUGGUUUACUCUGCUGCAGCCAUUUACCUUUUCUUACGUUGGAGUUGUUACAACCAUGGGAAGCCAUCGUUGUGCUAAAAGAUACUGCAGGAAACCUUAACUUUUGUCAGUUGACGCACUUACAUAAGACUCCAUCGCUGUUCUAAAAUCUAGACUGCUAAGAAAUUUUACUGCACCCAUGGAUACUAACGUACGUUAUUGGCAGCAAAGCAAAUGAAAUUAGAGCGCAUAAUUGUUCGGAAUAAUCUCAAUUAAAGUGGGCCAAUCAAAUACCAUCUGGUGGGAUGGUUGGCGAGAAAUUAUAAUGGUUACGUGAUUGUAUAAUGGCCUUUUAAGUAAGUGAUU